UACGUAGGGGGCUAGCGUUGUCCGGAAUCAUUGGGCGUAAAGCGCGCGUAGGCGGCCCGGUAAGUCCGCUGUAAAAGUCCAGGGCUCAACCCUGGAAAGCCGGUGGAUACUGUCGGGCUCGAGUCCGGAAGAGGCGAGUGGAAUUCCUGGUGGUAGCGGUGGAAUGCGCAGAUAUCAGGAGGAACACCGGUGGCGAAGGCGGGUCUCUGGGCAGUAACUGACGCUGAGGAGCGAAAGCGUGGGGAGCGAACAGG
rnacentral:rRNA from 1 species